rnacentral:rRNA from 1 species
AUUGAACGCUGGCGGCAGGCCUAACACAUGCAAGUCGAACGGUAACAGGAAACAGCUUGCUAUUUCGCUGACGAGUGGCGGACGGGUGAGUAAUGUCUGGGAAACUGCCUGAUGGAGGGGGAUAACUACUGGAAACGGUAGCUAAUACCGCAUAACGUCGCAAGACCAAAGAGGGGGACCUUCGGGCCUCUUGCCAUCAGAUGUGCCCAGAUGGGAUUAGCUAGUAGGUGGGGUAACGGCUCACCUAGGCGACGAUCCCUAGCUGGUCUGAGAGGAUGACCAGCCACACUGGAACUGAGACACGGUCCAGACUCCUACGGGAGGCAGCAGUGGGGAAUAUUGCACAAUGGGCGCAAGCCUGAUGCAGCCAUGCCGCGUGUAUGAAGAAGGCCUUCGGGUUGUAAAGUACUUUCAGCGGGGAGGAAGGGAGUAAAGUUAAUACCUUUGCUCAUUGACGUUACCCGCAGAAGAAGCACCGGCUAACUCCGUG